rnacentral:rRNA from 1 species
UACAGAGACUGCAAGCGUUAUUCGGAUUCACUGGGCGUAAAGGGUGCGCAGGCGGCCGUGUGUGUGAGGCGUGAAAGCCCGGGGCUCAACCCCGGAAUUGCACCUCAAACUACAUAGCUAGAGCAUUGGAGAGGGUAGCGGAAUUCACGGUGUAGCAGUGAAAUGCGUAGAUAUCGUGAGGAACACCAGAGGCGAAGGCGGCUACCUGGACAAUUGCUGACGCUCAGGCACGAAAGCGUGGGGAGCAAAAGGG